rnacentral:misc_RNA from 1 species
UUUCCGUAGGUGAACCUGCGGAAGGAUCAUUAUUGGAUUUUGAAACUUCAGGCUGCUGCUGGCUUUCCUCGGAGGGCAUGUGCACGCUUGUUGUCCAUUAUUUCUCCCACUGUGCACAAAUUGUAGACCUUUCAGUAGGCCUAUGUUGUUUUUCACAAUCUCUGAAUGUAAUAGAAUGGUUUUGAAUCUUGGGAAAUACAAUACAACUUUCAGCAACGGAUCUCUUGGCUCUC